CUUGCCACACAUCGGUCCUUCUGCUCUUCCACCUCCUAUUGGGAAAAGUUGGAUAGAUAAAAGGAUACCUAAUUGUAAGAUCUUUUUAAAUAAUUCCUUUGCUCUGGAAUCAGCGUGGAUACAUCCUGAGGAGCCAAGAUUGUUCCACGGGCAUGAAAAGCCUCAUUUGCUGGCCAGUCAGGUGGCUGUGUCUCUGUCCAGGCCAGCUCCUAUCUCCAGGCCUCUUCCCACAGUGGUGGUAGCGUCUCAGCCUAUUCCAGGUGGUUGCCAUAACAGCCUUAAGCCGAUCAGCAAUGGUCCCACCAUCGCCAUUGCUGCUGCCGCUGCUGCCACCAUGGUCUCCAUGGACCCGGAGGGCUUCCGGGCCCCAUCACCCUCCAGCAUGCAGCCAUGCCACUUCCUGACUUUGGCACCCAUCAAAAUACCCCUGAGG